rnacentral:rRNA from 1 species
UCUAGUAAUAAUGCGAAGAGGCUACACUCGUUUUCAUGCCGAACACGGAAGUAAAGCGCUUCAGUGUCGAUAGUAGUUGGAGGGUUCCUCCUGUGAGAGUAGGACGUUGACAGAC